rnacentral:lncRNA from 1 species
AUCGGGAUUCUAGCUCACCAAACACUUCGAAUUGUGUGGUAGAAGAGCCGUAGUUCCUUCUAAAUAAAGUCGAACCCAUGUAAGGUCUGGGUUCUGAGAUCAUUUUGCCCUCUGGCAGCUCACGAGCACCACCGGGUCGCCGCCUGCCCUCUGUUCAGCCCGUGAGGGGCGGGGGACUCUGCCCUUCGCUCCUCCUGGUCUCUGUCCUCUUCCCUAAGAGUUUCAUUCCGUCCGGAGCCACAAGCCGCCCUGCCUUCUGCACCUCCCCGGAGGCUGAAGCCCUUAAGCCUGCCCCGCACCCUAAGGCCCUGCAGGACACUCCUGCUGUCCUUGCGGGGCACACUGAUAUGACUCGAUGCUGAGCAGUUGAAAGGAUUAAAAAAUAGUGGGCAAACGGCAAAAACGGGUGGCAUGGAGUGAAUUAGAAGACACGAGACUUCAGAGAAGUGCGUUUCAUGCACAGAAGUUUGUCAAUGCCCCCCACCCCGAAACCCAGUCUCCCUGAGUGAGGGAGAGGGGGCUUCACCUUCCCUUUCGUUUCACUUUGAGCCCCAACUGCUGGACUGCAACAGAACGACCCUACAGGCUCACUAUGUUUCACAUUCUGGGGAUUCCUGGUGGCACCUUCCUGUGUUCACCAGUGGGUCCCCGUUAGACUUGGGGCUGUCACCUGACAUAUGGAACCAGGCAGCUCCAUGUUGGAUGCCUCCACAAGCAUGGAACUAAGGCUGCGGGGUCAGACCUACCCUCAGAAAGGAGGAGGAAUGUCUUUCGAGCUGUGGUCGGCCUGGGGUCUCCUUGUGAGCCUCAGGGUGCCAAGGAGGCAGGGCUGAACACCACCAGGAGCGGAGGGAGCCUGGUGGCUGGGGCUGGAGCCAGGAAAGGCUUGAAUGAACAAUGCAGCCUUUUACCAAGUCUGCACUCCUAAUGUUUCUGCAAACCUCCAUAUGUCUAUUACUUUUACCAUGGUGAGCUGGAAUGGCCCGCAGACUGUCCUAGAUCUUAGGACUGCCAGGUGAUGCAUGUGUGGCGAGGGAAGGAGAUACCUGGUGGCCCCUCCAGAUGGUCUCCACCAGCACCUGCUGGGCAGCAGCUUCUGCUUCUUUGGGCUUGCAAGUGGGUGCUUCUAUGAAGAGGAGGGUCCCUGGCAGGUUCCUCAGUAUUGCUGAACAGAAUAAAGGAAGCGCAGGGUUGGAAAGUGUAGCUUCAUGAAGAUUUAGUGGUUACGAGACAGGUUAUGAGACAGGAGGUACAGUUCCAGCAAAGGCCAAUGCCCAUCUGCCAACCAUUGUCUGGCGGAGAUGUGCAGGGAAG